AGAACGAACGCUGGCGGCGUGGAUAAGACAUGCAAGUCGAACGAGGUAGUUUGGUAGCAAUAUCAAACUGCCUAGUGGCAAACGGGUGCGUAACACGUAGGUUACAUUCCGGAAAGUGUGGGAUAGCCCAGGGAAACUUGGAUUAAUACCGCAUGUGAUCGCAAGAUCAAAGGCGAAAGCCGCUUUCUGAUUGGCCUGCGCCCUAUCAGCUAGUUGGUGAGGUAAUGGCUCACCAAGGCAACGACGGGUAGCUGGUCUGAGAGGACGACCAGCCACACUGGAACUGAGACACGGUCCAGACACCUACGGGUGGCAGCAGUCGAGAAUCUUUCACAAUGGGGG
rnacentral:rRNA from 1 species